rnacentral:rRNA from 1 species
AGAGUUUGAUCCUGGCUCAGAACGAACGCUGGCGGCGUGGAUAAGACAUGCAAGUCGAACGGGACCAAAUUAGUAGCAAUACCGGUUUGGUUCAGUGGCGCACGGGUGAGUAACACGUGAGCAAUCUGCCGGGAAGUGGGGGAUAGCUCGCCGAAAGGCGAAUUAAUACCGCAUGUGGCUAUCUUUUGAUUAAUGGAAAAUCCAAAGCAGCAAUGCGCUUCCUGAUGAGCUCGCGGCCUAUCAGCUAGAUGGCGGGGUAAAAGCCCACCAUGGCGAUGACGGGUAGCUGGUCUGAGAGGACGACCAGCCACACUGGAACUGAGAUACGGUCCAGACACCUACGGGUGGCAGCAGUCGAGAAUUUUUCACAAUGGGGGCAACCCUGAUGGAGCGACGCCGCGUGGAGGAUGAAGGCCUUCGGGUUGUAAACUCCUGUCAUGCGGGAACAAGAAAGUGAUAGUACCGCAAGAGGAAGAGACGGCUAACUCUGUGCCAGCAGCCGCGGUAAUACAAAGGUCUCAAGCGUUGUUCGGAUUCAUUGGGCGUAAAGGGUGCGUAGGUGGUGAUGCAAGUCUGGUGUGAAAUCUCGGAGCUUAACUCCGAAAUUGCACCGGAUACUGCGUUGCUCGAGGACUGUAGAGGAGAUCGGAAUUCACGGUGUAGCAGUGAAAUGCGUAGAUAUCGUGAGGAAGACCAGUUGCGAAGGCGGAUCUCUGGGCAGUUCCUGACACUGAGGCACGAAGGCCAGGGGAGCAAACGGGAUUAGAUACCCUAGUAGUCC